UACGCAGGGGGCGAGCGUUGUUCGGAAUUACUGGGCGUAAGGGGCGCGUAGGCGGCGACUCAAGUUAGAUGUGAAAGUCCUGGGCUUAACCUGGGGACUGCAUUUGAUACUGGGUUGCUUGAAUUCGGGAGAGGAUAGCGGAAUUCCCAGUGUAGAGGUGAAAUUCGUAGAUAUUGGGAAGAACACCGGUGGCGAAGGCGGCUAUCUGGACCGACAUUGACGCUGAGGCGCGAAAGCGUGGGAAGCGAACAGG
rnacentral:rRNA from 1 species